GAAAAACCUUACCUACCCUUGACAUGUCUGGAAUCCCGAAGAGAUUUGGGAGUGCUCGCAAGAGAACCGGAACACAGGUGCUGCAUGGCUGUCGUCAGCUCGUGUCGAGAUGUUGGGUUAAGUCCUGCAACGAGCGCAACCCUUGUCAUUAGUUGCUACGAAAGGGCACUCUAAUGAGACUGCCGGUGACAAACCGGAGGAAGGUGGGGAUGACGUCAAGUCCUCAUGGCCCUUAUGGGUAGGGCUUCACACGUCAUACAAUGGUCGGGACAGAGGGUCGCCAACCCGCGAGGGGGAGCCAAUCCCAGAAACCCGAUCGUGGUCCGAUCGCAGUCUGCAACUCGACUGCGUGAAGUCGGAAUCGCUAGUAAUCGCGGAUCAGCAUGUCGUGGUGAAUACGUUCCCGGGUCUUGCACACACCGCCCGUCACACCAUGGGGAGUGGGUUUUACCAGAAGUAGUUAGCCCAACCGUAAGGAGGGCGAUUACCACGGUAGUGAUUCAUGACUGGGGUGAAUGUCGUAAUAAGGUAG
rnacentral:misc_RNA from 1 species